UUUGCCUGCCAACCAUACAUUCUAAGGGUUUGAGAGGUCUAGGGGUAUAUAUUCAUUUACUGUGCAUAUGUGCAUCCCUCUAGCAAAACCAGAUGGCACCUGUAGCAUGAACUGUAGGUUGUGGGUAUCUUUUGACCCAGACAUACUACUACUGGGUAUUUAUCUUGAAGAAAUUUCAACAGGAGGAAAAUAUAUGGACCUGAAAAUGUGUAUGGAGCCUCACUUUAUAGCAGUCAUUUUUAGUUUUUAUUUUAAAUUUAUUUAUUUA